UUGAAGUGGGGUUGUAUGAAUAACUUGUGCAGUUAACAUGGUACCUCAAGGAGACGGGGAUCAGCGAUGUCAUUUAACGGAGUUUGGAGGAGGAGUGGAACAAGCGAAAGCCGGAGCUCUACUGUUGCAGAGGGGACCACCGGAAAACCUCUUUUUCGCCACAUUUUUAAAUGCUUACCUAAAACGCUAAUGCUAAUUAACUAUGCAUAAGUAACUCAUACAACCCCACUUCAAAAUCACCGAAUUAUCCCUUGAAGGGUGAAGGUGAGGGCUGCGGUAAGGUAACCGAUGUCCUCACAACUACAGAAGGACAAAUGUGUGUCUCUGCAGAUCAGAGGAGACGUAUGAAACGGUCCAGAAAGAAAACAAUAGGAGAGGUGAAACACUGAGGUCGAUGAGAGGAAAAAUCUUAAACGAAUCAAACAAAAGGUAGAAAAGAGCUUUAUUUAUGCUGUUUUACUCGAGGUCGGUCAAUUUAGAUCCAACUCUUCUUUAGUAAAAGCUCUAACAAAGAGCAAGAGACUCGAUGUGAAAUUGAGGGACACGCAGACAGAAAGAGGCGCAACGACAGAAGACGAAAAAGUUCUCUGCAUGUGUGUGGAGGUUCAUUAGUUAUAAUAAUAGAAAAAUAGAAAAAGACAAAAAACAAUAUAUAAUAUAUAAUAUUUCAAAACUCAUGCAAACUCAGGAACACAGUUAUGAACCUGAUCUGAAAUAGCGCAAGAGCUUCUCUCCCCCGGCCGACACGUCUGACCUUUAAGGAAGCAGGAAACCAAAUAAUCCAAAUCAGAGGAAGCUGUCGUGGAUUAUUAGCGGUGCUGCAUCGUCCAGUCUCAUUAAAAACCUGAGUACAAACUGCUCCACAGACGAGGACGAGCUGAACACACGUCAGGAUCCUUUGGCUCGUCCCUGUAACCGUGUCCCUGAGCUUCUCCGGAGAGGCUGAAUGUGAGGACGCAAAUCUGACAUUUUCCGGAACUUUUCCUGUCGGCCCCCGAGUCAACCUCCAAAGAGCCCUCGGGCCGUCGGCAGGAUAUGAGCUGACGGAGUUGGUGAAAACCUCGGCCGUGGGGGCAGUGUGUGUUUGUGUUUCUGUGUGUGUGUGUUUUGCCUCAAGCUUUCACAUUGCACAACACAGAAAUCAACAAAAACGCAGAGGGACUGUGAAUAUGAUUUAUGCAUGUUCUGUAGAAUGUGUGGAAUGUGCGUAUGUGUUCAUGCAGCGAGGCACUGACAUGGAUUUUUACACACCUACAUGCACGCACACGCACACGCACACGGAGCUGGGAAGUGGGGCAGCUGACAGCACUGUAGCAAGGUCACGUGUGUUUAUCCAGUGUCAUCUGUUCCGUCAGUGCUCUCUCUCACCAACACUCACUCUGUGACAGUGAACACAUCGUCUUCUUCCCUCACUCGUUCCUCCUCCUCCUCCUCCUCUUCCUCUUUGUGGGUUUUGUGUUUUUCUUCCGAACAGCAACUCCAUCGUCCCUCGAGGCGUUCGAGCCACUGAUUCAACUAACAGCUUCAUCUGUUCAAUCAUGUCGUAUUGAUUUUGCAUUGGACGAUGCUGAGGGUCUGUGUACAGUCGAGGUCACAUCUUGACCUUAAAACAGAAAAUCCCCCUGAUGACGGCGGAAUAAAGAAGAUUCUUUCAGUCCGUCGCCCUCGUGCUGCUCCGGCUGGUUUUCCUUUUCCACAGUUAGCCUCGUUCCUCCAACAUAAUUUUUAACCUCAGCUUCUGAAUUAUUGACUGAAUAUCGGUAUAUUUAUUAUUCAUUCAUUAAUCAUCAAUCAAAUGUCAGAAAAUAAAAAGAGGAAUGUUACAAUCAACCAACAUCUGAGGAAAAAAACAAAACUAAUUUUGUCUGAUCUACAGGACAAAAAAAAAACAUUUGUUAUGUUACAUAUCAUCAUAAUUUUUUGUUUUCAUAAUUACUUCUGGGAUUAGUAGAUUAUAUCAAGUAUCUGACAGAAUAUGUUCCGUUUAUUAUUUCAUAUGAAUGUUACUGCAUUUCCUGCAUCUCUUAUACAGGUCGCCUCUUUCCUCUGUCCGUGUGUGUGUGUGUGUGUGUGUGUGUGUGUGUGUGUGUUAGUAGUUCCACUUCGCUCCCGAAGCCUCAUUCCGACCUGUUCAGAAUUUUAAACAGCUUCCUUGUUCCUCUCACCUUCCCUCAACUCUCAGUUUCUGUCGUCCGCUAAAUUCUCACAGAGGAACUGACUCGACAGUAAAACAUGGAUAUUAGAUAUUAGACAGAGUGUGUGUGUGUGUUUUAACAUUUAUCUUUCUGCCAAUUUUCCAAAUGACAGACAAUAAGCACCAUCAUAAUGUGGCUGCACAUUGUGGAAGUUUCACUUGAUCCAUUCUGGUGUCUCAAUAAUUAGUUGAAAAUAUAUUUAAAUGUUAAUCAUUACUAAGCAAAGGUCUUAAAUAACAUAUUUAGUUUAGUUUUGAUGUAUAAUAAUCAUGUUGUUCAGUAUCUGUUAUGUAUUUAAGAAUGAAUCUCUAGUUUGUCCCUGUAAAUAAGUUUUAUUCGGUUGAAUACAGGGUAACACACAUUAAGCUAGUGACAAACUGUAAGCUAGUUACAAACGUUAAGCUAGCAACGAACUUUAAACUAGUGACAAACUUUAAGCUAGUGAAAAAAAUGUAAGCUAGUGACAAACUUUAAACUUGUUACGAAUGUUAAGCUAGUAACGAACUUUAAACUAGUGACAAACUUUAAACUAGUGACAAACGUUAAGCUAGUAAGGAACUUUGAACUAGUGAAGAGCUUUAAGUUAGAAACGAACGUUAAGCUAGUGACAAACUUUA